rnacentral:rRNA from 1 species
AUUGAACGCUGGCGGCAGGCCUAACACAUGCAAGUCGAGCGGAUGAAGGGAGCUUGCUCCUGGAUUCAGCGGCGGACGGGUGAGUAAUGCCUAGGAAUCUGCCUGGUAGUGGGGGAUAACGUCCGGAAACGGGCGCUAAUACCGCAUACGUCCUGAGGGAGAAAGUGGGGGAUCUUCGGACCUCACGCUAUCAGAUGAGCCUAGGUCGGAUUAGCUAGUUGGUGGGGUAAAGGCCUACCAAGGCGACGAUCCGUAACUGGUCUGAGAGGAUGAUCAGUCACACUGGAACUGAGACACGGUCCAGACUCCUACGGGAGGCAGCAGUGGGGAAUAUUGGACAAUGGGCGAAAGCCUGAUCCAGCCAUGCCGCGUGUGUGAAGGAGGUCUUCGGAUUGUAAAGCACUUUAAGUUGGGAGGAAGGGCAGUAAGUUAAUACCUUGCUGUUGUGACGUUACCAACAGAAUAAGCACCGGCUAACUUCGUG